AUUGAACGCUGGCGGCAGGCCUAACACAUGCAAGUCGAGCGGCGCGGCGGUCGGGUGAGUAAUGCCAAGGAAUCUGCCCGGUAGUGGGGGAGAACGUUCCGAAAUGGGCGCUAAUACUGCAUCCUAUUAGCUGAGCCUAGGUCGGAUUAGCUGGUGGGUGGGGUAAAGGCCUACAAAGGCGACGACCCGUAACUGUUUCGAGAGGAGGAUCAGUCACACUGGAAUGGAGACACGGUCCAGACUCCUACGGUAGGCAGCAGUGGGGAAUAUUGGACAAUGGGCGAAAGCCGGAUCCAGACAUGCCGCGUGGGUGAAGAAGGUCUUCGGUUUGUAAAGCACUUUAAGUUGGGAGGCGUUACCAACAGAAGAAGCACCGGCUAACUUCGUGCCAGCAGCCGCGGUAAUUC
rnacentral:rRNA from 1 species